rnacentral:rRNA from 1 species
UACGAAGGGUGCAAGCGUUACUCGGAAUUACUGGGCGUAAAGCGUGCGUAGGUGGUUUGUUAAGUCGGAUGUGAAAGCCCUGGGCUCAACCUGGGAAUGGCAUUGGAUACUGGCGAGCUAGAGUGCGGUAGAGGAUGGCGGAAUUCCCGGUGUAGCAGUGAAAUGCGUAGAGAUCGGGAGGAACAUCUGUGGCGAAGGCGGCCAUCUGGACCAGCACUGACACUGAGGCACGAAAGCCAGGGGAGCAAACGGG